rnacentral:rRNA from 1 species
AUGUUGCGCCAUCACCUUGAUCAUGAUGCAAUCUGUACCAUCUGUGGGCAAGAGACUGAGACGACAUUUCACGCACUUGUCCAAUGCCCACAUGCACGUAAUCUUUGGACUGUGAUGAGAUUAGUUUGGGACCUUCCUGCUGAUAACUCACUCAAAGGUAUGGAACCGGAAUGGCUCCUUCUUUGCCUCCAGCAAUUAGAUGAGACCCAGCGUAUGCUCCUGCUCAUGCUACUAUCGCGUGUAUGGCAUGUUCGAAACGAACUUACCCAUGACAAACCACUAAUCCCGGUCGAGGCAUCGAAGAAAUUUCUCUGUAGCUAUGUUGAUUCCUUGCUACUUAUCAAACAGGGGCCAGAGGUGGACAUCCUCAAGGGGAAGCAACCAGCUCUUUUAUCCAACAAUGGUGCUCAACAUAAGUUGGAGCCUAGCGUACAACCCAGUUGGAUUCCUCUUCCAUGUGGUGUUGCAAAGUUCAAUUUUGACGGUUCGUUUGUACAGGCAGAUGGAACAGCUGGUGCCGGUAUGAUCCUACGUGAUCACACAGGUGCGGUUAUCUACGCGGCAUGCAGAUGGAUCCGGAACUGCUCGGGCGCACUGGAGGCAGAGCUAUCGGCGUGUGAGGAGGGCCUGAAGCUGGCGUUGCACUUGACUCCCUUGCCUAUCCAGGUCGAGACAGAUUGUGCGGAGAUAUUGAAGCUCCUUGAAUUAGGUUCAAAGGGAAGAUCAAGGAAUAUGUUUCAAGUGGCGGCCAAGCAGAGCUAUCGGCGUGUGAGGAGGGCCUGA